rnacentral:rRNA from 1 species
UGGAACGGGACGCCAGAGAGGGUGAGAGCCCCGUACGGUUGGACGCCUAACCUAUAUAUAGCUCCUUCGACGAGUCGAGUAGUUUGGGAAUGCUGCUCUAAAUGGGAGGUAAAUUUCUUCUAAAGCUAAAUACCGGCCAGAGACCGAUAGCGCACAAGUAGAGUGAUCGAAAGAUGAAAAGCACUUUGAAAAGAGGGUUAAAUAGCACGUGAAAUUGUUGAAAGGGAAGCGUUUGCGACCAGACCUUUUCCAGGGGGAUCAACCGGUGUUCUCACCGGUGCACUUCCCCUGGUUUAGGCCAGCAUCGGUUCUUUGAGGGGCAUAAAGGCAGGGGGAACGUAGCUCUUUCGGGAGUGUUAUAGCCCCCUGCGUAAUACCCCUCGGGGGACCGAGGACCGCGCUCUGCAAGGAUGCUGGCGUAAUGGUCGUCAACGACCCGUCUUGAAACACGGACCAAGGAGUCGAACAUUUGUGCGAGUGUUUGGGUGUUAAACCCUCACGCGUAAUGAAAGUGAACGGAGGUGAGAGCCCUUACGGGCGCAUCAUCGACCGAUCCUGAUGUCUUCGGAUGGAUUUGAGUAAGAGCAUAACUGUUCGGACCCGAAAGAUGGUGAACUAUGCGUGGAUAGGGUGAAGCCAGAGGAAACUCUGGUGGAGGCUCGCAGCGGUUCUGACGUGCAAAUCGAUCGUCAAAUCUGCGCAUGG